AUUGAACGCUGGCGGCAGGCCUAACACAUGCAAGUCGAACGAGUGGCGGACGGGUGAGUACUGUCUGGGAAACUGCCCGAUGGAGGGGGAUAACUACUGGAAACGGUUGCUAAUACCGCAUACCAUCGGAUGUGCCCAGAUGGGAUUAGCUGGUACGUGAGGUAACGGCUCACCUAGGCGACGAUCCCUAGCUGGACUGAGAGGAUGACCAGCCACACUGGAAAUGGGACACGGUCCAGACUCCUACGGGAGGCAGCAGUGGGGAAUAUUGCACAAUGGGCGCAAGCCUGAUCCAGCCAUGCCGCGUGUAUGAAGAAGUCCUUCGGGUCGUAAAGUUCUUUCAGCGGGGAGGCGUUACCCGCAGAAGAAGCACCGGCUAACUCCGUGCCAGCCGCCGCGGUAAUUC
rnacentral:rRNA from 1 species